rnacentral:lncRNA from 1 species
AAGAUCAAGGCUAACAGACCAAAACACUAAUCACUGGCAUCGACCUUACGGGACAUGCAUAGGCAGCUGGACUGAAAGAUCAUUUGCUGUCUACAUGUGUUUUUAAUCUCCAGAGAUUCCAUCACUCCCAACCGGCUGAAACAAGUUGAGAAAACCAUGCACACUAGUGAGAGUGGAUGUCCCAAGCACAAAGAGAACAUGGAAAGUAUGUUGAAUCCAGAUGAUCCAACCCUCUGUUCUCCAGUCCUGCUGGCACACCUAGAGGCCAAUUCAGGGUUUGCACUUUCUUAAUGGUAAAAGC